rnacentral:rRNA from 1 species
CAAGUCGAACGAAUCCCACUGCUGUAGCAAUACAGUGGUGGGGGAAGUGGCGAAAGGGGCAGUAAUGCGUGGGUAACCUACCCCGGGGAUGGGCAUAGCCGUUCUAACGAGCGGGUAAUUCCCAGCGAUCCGGCGAGGGGGCAUCUUCUUGCCGGGAAAUGAGUUUCGCCUCGGGAGGGACUCACGUGCUAUUAGCUUGUUGGUGAGGUAACGGCUCACCAAGGCAAAGAUGGCUAGCGGGUGUGAGAGCACGACCCGCGCCACUGGCACUGAGACACUGGCCAGACACCUACGGGUGGCUGCAGUCGAGGAUCUUCGUCAAUGGGCGCAAGCCUGAACGAGCGACGCCGCGUGUGCGAUGAAGGCCUUCGGGUUGUAAAGCACUGUCGAGGGGAACGAAGCCGAAAGGUUGACCGAUCCCUGGAGGAAGCACGGGCUAAGUUCGUGCCAGCAGCCGCGGUAAGACGAACCGUGCGAACGUUGUUCGGAAUCACUGGGCUUAAAGGGCGCGUAGGCGGCUCGCGAGGUCGGGGGUGAAAUCCCACGGCUUAACCGUGGAAGUGCCUUCGAUACCGGCGGGCUUGAGGAAGGUAGGGGUGCGCGGAACUUCUGGUGGAGCGGAGAAAAUGCGUUUGAUAUCAGAAGGAACGCCGGCGGCGAAAGCGGCGCACUGGAUCUUUUCUGACGCUGAGGCGCGAAAGCCAGGGGAGCAAACGGGAUUAGAUACCCCGGUAGUCCUGGCCCUAAACGAUGGGUACUAGGUCGUGGGCCGGUCAUGGGCUCACAGCCGAAGCAAAAGUGUUAAGUACCCCGCCUGGGGAGUAUGGUCGCAAGGC